rnacentral:rRNA from 1 species
AAUAUUGGACAAUGGGGGAAACCCUGAUCCAGCCAUCCCGCGUGUAUGAUGAAGGCCUUCGGGUUGUAAAGUACUUUUGGCAGAGAAGAAAAGGUAUUCCCUAAUACGGGAAGCUGCUGACGGUAUCUGCAGAAUAAGCCCCGGCUAACUACGUGCCAGUAUCCGCAGUAAUACGUAGGGUGCAAGCGGUAAUCGGAAUUACUGGGCGUAAAGCUAGGGUAGACGGUUCGAAAAGAAAGAUGAGACAUACCAGGGCUCAACCUUGUAACUGCAUUUUUAACUGCCGAGCUAGAGUAUGUCAGAGGGGGGUAGAAUUCCACGUGUAGCAGUGAAAUGCGUAGAUAUGCGGAGGAAUACCGAUGGCGAAGGCAGCCCCCUGGGAUAAUACUGACGCUCAGACACGAAAGCGUGGGGAGCAAACAGG